rnacentral:rRNA from 1 species
CUAGUAAUCGUAGGUCAGCAUACUACGGUGAAUACGUUCCCGGGCCUUGUACACACCGCCCGUCAAACCAUGAGAGUUGGCAACACCCGAAGUCGGUAGUCUAACCACAAGGAGGACGCCGCCGAAGGUGGGGUUGAUGAUUAGGGUUAAGUCGUAACAAGGUAGC